AUGGUGAGCAGCAGGAGCACGAGCUGUCAGCUUCGCCCAGCAGAGGAUCGGUGUGUGACCCAGGUGGGAUUUCCUCCCCGAGCAAUUCAACGCUCCAUCCCCUGGCUGCUGGCAUUUAGGAGAGGAGGGCGCACCAGAGGCAUUCGUGCUACCAAAGGCUGCCAAGGACAUAUCCCAAAUGCACCGAGUACCCCUUGUGGACCAGGGGCUGAUGAAGGAGGCCCUGCAGUUCCUGCAGUAAGUGCCUCACCGAAGAAAACGUCCGACACAGCUAGCCGAUUCCGUAAUAGCAAUGUAAUGUUACAGCGCAAAGCCACUGCUGGAAAGUAAUCGGGGCGUGCGGCUAAUCCUGUUCUAUUCACUGUAAUUUAAUUUGAAAACAGCUUUAAAGCUUCAUUUGCUGUGUGUUUCCCUUCGGGCCAUGCUCCCUCGCAGUAAGGAGCAUCGAGCAGUGUCCAUGAGGCUUUGUCCCCGUGGCCCCACAGCAGCUGGGGACCGCAGGUCCCAUCCCAGUGCUCCUCAGGUGGCCAAAGCAUCCUCACCAGGGAGGAGAAUCCAGGAGGGUGAAUUCAGCCGGUGAAUUCAGUCGGUGCCACCCUGCACGGCCCCUGGGAUGGGGGUUUUGGGGUGCUCACAGACAGCAAAUCGGGGGCGGAGGAGCUGCAGGAGCUGGGCAGAGCCCAGGCGUAACCGUGGGGGAUUUCGGAGUUGCCACUUUUUUAUUUUCCUUCUUGUUGUUACUGGAAGAAGUUCAGAGUGAACCAUAAAAUGCAGUGGGAAGCCUUUCAGGGCUUGGUUUUCUCGCAUGCCACGCUGUAACUUGGGGAACAGCAGUGACUGGCAAAACGCAGCAGUUAUUACUGUGAUGAAUUCGGAGGGCGAGGUGCGCUGAGAUGCUGCUUUCUGGGCUUUAGGCUGAUUUAUGGUGUGCUCAGAGCAGCCGUCCUGCUCCUUCACUGCCCUCCUUCCCUCCUGCACACACGCAGAGGUGUGCUCUGCAGAUCCCCACUGCUCGAUUUUACAUCGUGCUGCAAGUCGAUGCCGGCAGAUACACGCUCCCCUCUGCCACCCAUGAGGCCCAGCCUAGCCUCCAGGCUCUCUUCAGCAGGUUUUAUUUCUCCAGGAGCACGGUUUUUCAGCAUCCCCAGCCUGCAGACCCGCAGGCUGCUGCCUUCAGCGCUUCUUUUCCUUGCUGGGUGGGCACGAGGAGGAGGAGGGAGGUGCUCUGUCCGCUCUCGGCUCUUUCUGCUGAUGCCCGUGCCCUAACUUUGAUCUAGGUAAUGACUCUCGUGAAAGCACCAUUUCGUGCCGUGCCUUUCAUGCUUCCUUGUCAUCUUGUUUACUCCGCCGCACCCUUUGAAGUGACGAAGCCGUUCGUGCUGCACAGCGCAGCAGGCUCCGACGCUGGGCGUUAUCAUCAUCAUGGGUAAGAAGGGAUUUGAGGAGCAGCAGCGAGGCUGCCCCAGCACGAGGGAGCCCCCACAGGGACAGGAGCUGUGGGGGGGGACGUGGGGUGCUUGCUGAGCCCCACCGCUGGCAGCAGGGCACUCAGGGUGGCACUCAGGCUGCGGUGCUCGGUGUGGCACAGGGGCUGAUCUCCAGCAGAGCCAUUGCUUGGUGUCCACACGCUUAAAAGCAGUACCAGCAGCUGCUUGGGAACAGCCCCGGUGGUGCUGCCACCACUCCUCUUCCCUGUUAGCUAAUUAAGUCAUCAGGUCGCGAGCAGCAGCCUCGUCUCAGGCCAGAGGAGUGUGGCUGUCCCUUUAUUCUGCCUUUCAGUGAGUAAUUCUGUGUCGUAUCUUGCUUGGCAGCACGUCAGAAGCCUGUGCCAGGCCAAGUGGGAUGUGGCUGAAGAAUUCCCUUUACGCUUUCACCUGUAAUUAAAAUAAUCUCAGCGUUCACCAGGUCGCUCUGUGUUUUCCCAUGAAAAUGCUCCUUGGGCACCUGGCUUUGCCCACCUGGACUGAAUCUCCCUGGGGCUGGACACGAGCUCUGCUUUUUCCCUGAGAGCUGCAGCUCUGCAGCCGAACAGGAGCUGGAAACACGAGGCCAGCAUCCUCCUGAGCGUGCACAGCAAGGAGACAAAGGUAGCAGGAAGGGUUUUUUUCCAAGGCAAGUUAGUGUGAAAGGCGUUUUCUCAUUCUUGACCAUGUGCAGGUGAAACAAAGCCUUUCUCCUCCACAUUCAGGUGCUUGGGAUUCUUCCUAGAAGCGCUGUGAGCCCUUCCAUCCCAAACAGCACUGCCCUGGAAAUGCUGGGAUCUGACCUGGAGGUGGGUGCUGUAAAACACCCCACAGAUACCUGGUGGUUCCUGCUGUGAUGUCCUGCUGCGGGGCCUUUGCACCAUCUAUAUUUAUAUAUAUACAUACAUGUAUAUUUAUAUAUAUAUAUAUAUAUAUCUCAGUCCUGCUUGCUGCAGCUUAAUGAGUCCAGGCCUUUAGGGAGAAUUAGCAGUGUAUUAACACUGCAUCUGAAAAAUUAAAGGAAUAGUCAAGCAAAUUUCUUUUUAUUGACUUUUAGCGAGCCAUUUAAUCCAAACAUCUCGUUAACUGCAAUAUAACCAUCCUAUAUAAUGGGCUUUGCAAUAAGAACAAUUAGCUCCGCAAUUAGCAUAAGAGUGAACGCUCUGCAACUGCCUGCAAUUGGCAACGGGCCUAUUAAAAAUGUGUCCUGUAGAGAAAAAAUAAUAGCAUUUCAGCUGGGUAGAUUGAAGCCAUUUGACUUUAAGCACCAAUAAUAUUUCUUCUAUUGAUCCGGCGUCCCGGAUGAUCUAGGAGCGAGGAGGGAAGGUUGGCUGCUCGCGGCAAACUUAUUGCUCCUCUGCCAUUGGCACGGCAUCAAUCAGAGUGAUUUGCAGGGUAAACCACGGAGUCCCGUGGUAAUUAGCCCGUCCCAUUAAUACUCGGGCUGCUUGAUCACCCUCAGGGGGUAGUGAUGGAGCUGCAGGGUCCCCAGGGCUGUGGCUGGCUCAGCCUCCAGCGGGCGCACGGCUGCGUGGGCUGCACAUCCCAUGGCAGAGGUGGAGAUUUCUGCUCUUGGCUUUUCCCCAUCAAAAGUCUGAAUGUCCCUGUGCCACCUGGAACCUCUUCCCAGCAAAAUAUUUGUCCAGGACGGUGCUGAAGCUCAGGAGGAAAUUGUGAUCCAUCACCUCUGCGACGAUCACCGGCCUCUCCUUGGAGCAUCUCUUGCUUACAAACCCGGAGACAACAGGCUUUGACACCUCAGGGUAGUGAAUAAAUAAUAAGCAUCAGAAAUGCCA
rnacentral:lncRNA from 1 species